ACUCUCUUCCAACUUAUUUUUUUAGACUUCUAUGAUCUAAAAAUGUUUUAAAUAAAUAGGUAGGCUUAAGAUUAUAGCUUAUAAGCUGUUUGACUAGUCUAUAAGUUAAGAAAAAUAUAUUUUAAUAAUGAAACAAAAUUAUAAAGAUUAAUGAAAACCUAGAAAGGAUUUUAAAAAAUGCAGCCUUAUAAUAAUUUAUUUUGUACUCUAAAACUUCAAAAUUAUAUCCACCCAAAUCCUCAAUAUUCAAAGGCACAAAUCCUGCACACCCGGAAACAUGAAGACCAGGCCACGAAGUGAUCAUCAGAAAUAGGAUCGUCCCUUGCUGAGUACUGCCACAGCAAAUCCUGAACUAAUUGUCUCCCAUUGCUCAUCAAACAAAGAGUGCCUCAUGAGAUUUUUAGCUCUAAAGGAUGACAGAAUCUGCAUAAACAUGGUUUGCAAACACACAAACGAAGGUUUUGCAGUAAAUGUUGCAGAUUCUUCAUAAUGACAUUCCUGUUACAAUCAAAAUCAAGACUCAAAAUUACAGAAAAUAUAAAAACGCACACUCAAGAUGGGAUGGACAAAUCUCUCUUUCCAAAGGCACCAAAGUGCAGCAUUGAAAGCUACCACAUGCAGACAACAAGCAGGGUUGAAUUGAAUCUCGAGGUAGCCUUAUUAAUGUAAUGCCGAUGAUUGUACCAUCACUGAUGAUUUAUGAUUACAAAAGGUGAUUUAUGAUUACAAAUGGUAUGUGGGAAAUGGUAGGCCAAUAACCUCCUUCGUCUUUCCAAUGAGGACAUCCAAGGAUUCUUAGAGUUUCAAGUGUGGCAGGUAAGCCCUCCUCUGGCAAGGACAGGAAAUUUUGGCAAUUAUGAAUUAUUAACCUUUGUAGAGUAGUCAGCUUUUGGAUCCCUCUUGAGAUGGAUUUCAGAUUCUCGAGUUUACGGAUAUCUAGACUGGUCAAUGAAGUGGGAAGGAGUAGGCCAUCAUCAUCUGGAAAGGAAUCAAACAUAUUUGUACUUGGACUUGUGCCAUAUAUUUCCAACGUUCUAAGAGAGACGAGUUUGUGGAGUCCCCACUCUGUCAUCGGCUGUUCCAGAUUCUUGCAAUUCCUGAUGGAAAGAUUGGUUAGGUUUAGUGGCAUCGGAUUGGGCAGUGACCUCAAAUUCUCGCAUCCACGGAUGGCUAAAGAGAUAAGAGAGUGGAUAGCCAAUCCUGCUUCUUGGAAGGACUCUAAUUGUGGACAGUCUCCUAUGGUUAGAUUUCUGAGAUGAGAUAAACCACGGAAUACUGACUCUAAUAACUGUGUCGGCCAAUUACAUUCUUCACUGAUAUCAAGAGUCUUAAGUGAAACUGGAAACUCGCCAUUUGGACAGGACCUCAAAGAUCUACAUACGCUGAUACUCAAAUCCUCAAGCUGAGAGCUCUGGUUAAUGUCGUUAACAUCACACAUAAUACCCUUAGGCAGAGAAUCUAGAGAAACAUUUCUAAUAUA
rnacentral:misc_RNA from 1 species